CCUACGGGCGGCAGCAGUGGGGAAUAUUGGGCAAUGGGCGCAAGCCUGACCCAGCAACGCCGCGUGAAGGAAGAAGGCUUUCGGGUUGUAAACUUCUUUUGUCAGGGAAGAGCAGAAGACGGUACCUGUCGAAUAAGCCACGGCUAACUACGUGCCAGCAGCCGCGGUAAUACGUAGGUGGCAAGCGUUGUCCGGAUUUACUGGGUGUAAAGGGCGUGUAGCCGGGCUGACAAGUCAGAUGGGAAAUCCGGGGGCUCAACCCCCGAACUGCAGUUGAAACUGUGGGUCUUGAGGAGCGGAGAGGCAGGCGGAAUUCGUAGGGUAGCGGUGAAAUGCGUAGAUAUCAGGAGGAACACCAGUGGCGAAGGCAGCCUACUGGAGGACAACUGACGCUGAGGCGCGAAAGCGUGGGGAGCGAACAGGAUUAGAUACCCCUGUAGUC
rnacentral:rRNA from 1 species